rnacentral:tRNA from 1 species
AGCAAUCUUUUUUUAUUUAAUUUUGUACAUUAUUACCAGUAUUUGUAUCUGGGGUAGUUUGUUAGGAA